rnacentral:snRNA from 1 species
AUACUUACCUGAGGAAGGGGAGAUACCAUGAUCACGAAGGUGGUUUUCCCAGGGCGAGGCUUACCCAUUGUACUCUGGAUGUGCUGACCCCUGCGAUUUCCCCAAAUGUGGGAAACUCGACUGCAUAAUUUAUGGCAGCGGGGGACUGUGUCUGCGCUCUCCCUUG